GUUUGGUCAAAUAGAGCCAAGCAGAGCGAUGACCUAUAGCAACAGUCCUAUAGCAACGUAAAUUACUAGUUCAAAACUAAACCAUCAUAUCCUGAUAUCGUUUUCUGUGACAUGAAAGACGACGUGAUAAAAACUCUACUAGUAUUUAUAAUGGAGAGUAAUCAUUCCUGGGUUUAUAAAUACGCUUUUCCAUCUAGGUACAAAUAAUCAUCUUAUAUUUAACAAAAGAACAGAGUUCCAAUGUCCCCACAUUGUUCAUAUUUUAUCUAAUCAAGAUUUAAGGGCAAUAACUAAACUUGAAAAAAUCAAAAAAUAAAAGCUUAAGACCAAAUGCAAUGGGAUUUCCAUUAUAAUUCUUUUUAUUCAAGGGGCAUAAUUGGUUAAAUACUUUUGAUCAGAACUUUUUUCGCAAGUGUCAAAGACAUUGCUGAUGAUAUAUAAAGUUUCACAAAAAUCUGGCAAGAAUUUACUCAUGGCAGCGCUAACAAGAUCGGACGGACAGACACCCGCUAUUUUCAUGUCCCCUGCAACGCGUGAAGACAAGUGAUCAAAAACCCCAUGAAGAGGAUCAG
rnacentral:lncRNA from 1 species